UACGUAGGGUGCAAGCGUUAAUCGGAAUUACUGGGCGUAAAGCGCACGUAGGCGGCUUUCUAAGUCGGAGGUGAAAUCCUGGAGCUCAACUCCAGAACUGCCUUCGAUACUGGAGAGCUUGAGUCCGGGAGAGGUGAGUGGAACUGCGAGUGUAGAGGUGAAAUUCGUAGAUAUUGGGUGGAACACCGGUGGCGAAGGCGGCUCACUGGUCCGGUUCUGACGCUGAGGCGCGAAAGCGUGGGGAGCAAACAGG
rnacentral:rRNA from 1 species